rnacentral:rRNA from 1 species
AGAACGAACGCUGGCGGCAUGCCUAAUACAUGCAAGUCGAACGAAGGCUUCGGCCUUAGUGGCGCACGGGUGCGUAACGCGUGGGAAUCUGCCCCUUGGUUCGGAAUAACAGUUGGAAACGACUGCUAAUACCGGAUGAUGACGAAAGUCCAAAGAUUUAUCGCCAAGGGAUGAGCCCGCGUAGGAUUAGCUAGUUGGUGAGGUAAAGGCUCACCAAGGCGACGAUCCUUAGCUGGUCUGAGAGGAUGAUCAGCCACACUGGGACUGAGACACGGCCCAGACUCCGUACGGGAGGCAGCGAGUAGGGAAUAUUGGACAAGUGGGCGAAAGCCUAGAUCCAGCAAUGCCGCGUGAGUGAUGAGGCCGUUAGGGUUGUAAGCUACGUUUACCGAGUAUGAUAA